rnacentral:miRNA from 2 species
UUCCUGUAUCUGAUUUUCAG